rnacentral:rRNA from 1 species
GACGAACGCUGGCGGCGUGCUUAACACAUGCCAGUCGAACGGAAAGGCCCUGCUUUUGUGGGGUGCUCGAGUGGCGAACGGGUGAGUAACACGUGAGUAACCUGCCCUUGACUUUGGGAUAACUUCAGGAAACUGGGGCUAAUACCGGAUAGGAGCUCCUGCUGCAUGGUGGGGGUUGGAAAGUUUCGGCGGUUGGGGAUGGACUCGCGGCUUAUCAGCUUGUUGGUGGGGUAGUGGCUUACCAAGGCUUUGACGGGUAGCCGGCCUGAGAGGGUGACCGGCAGGAUGGGGACAGCGGUCCUGCCGGAACUGAGAGGGGGGGCAGAGGGGGAAAGGCGGACACAGGGGGGGAGGGGGAGGUACGGGAGCGAGGCGUGCGGGGUGACGGCCUGGGGGUAGUAAACGGUUUAGGCGGGGAAAAAGAGGUGAGGGAGGGAAGAGAGAAAAGAAGGACCGCAUAACUAGCUGCAAGCGGCCGGGGAAGAAAGAUAGGACGCUUCUAAAC